rnacentral:rRNA from 1 species
UACGUAGGGUGCGAGCGUUGUCCGGAAUUAUUGGGCGUAAAGGGCUCGUAGGCGGUUUGUCGCGUCGGGAGUGAAAACCUCGGGCUUAACUCGGGGCUUGCUUUCGAUACGGGCAGACUGGAGGUAUGCAGGGGAGAACGGAAUUCCUGGUGUAGCGGUGAGAUGCGCAGAUAUCAGGAGGAACACCGGUGGCGAAGGCGGUUCUCUGGGCAUUACCUGACGCUGAGGAGCGAAAGUGUGGGGAGCGAACAAG